CUAACCCUAAUCAUUUCUCCAAAUUAUCCGCCCCCAAAUUCUCUCAUCCUCUCAAACUCUCUCUAAACCACUCGAAACCCUAUCCGCAUAUAUCGUCAUCUCUGACCAGUUUUCACCGGAGUCCAUGGCUUCUAAGGCCAUGGACGACCUAUGCUUCCCUUCUCCCCAAACCAUGAUUAUUCGAACCUUGAAAGUUCCGUUCUUCAAUAAACAUUUUCAAGUCCUUUGCCGACCUGAGCUCCUCUGGUUUCUCCGGCUCCGUCCCGGCGUGUUCAAACUCUGAAAAGCUCAGUCAUGGCCCAGACUUGUUCAAAGACCAGAUCGUUCUAGGCCUUCUUGUUUCUAGGGUUUUUGAGAAACCCUAGAAAACUUGUUCGAGGUUUUUCUUCCAUUGUAUUCUUAGAUCUGUAACAGAUAUGUGCUUUAUUCGACGUUUUAAUGAUUUUCCC
rnacentral:lncRNA from 1 species